rnacentral:rRNA from 1 species
CAUUUAGAAAUGAAUGCUAAUACCUAAUAUUAUGAUAAUAGGGCAUCCUAUAAUUAUGAAAGCUAUAUGCGCUGUGAGAGAGCUUUGCGUCCCAUUAGCUAGUUGGAGAGGUAACGGCUCACCAAGGCGAUGAUGGGUAGCCGGCCUGAGAGGGUGAUCGGCCACAAGGGGACUGAGACACGGCCCUUACUCCUACGGGAGGCAGCAGUGGGGAAUAUUGGACAAUGGACCGAGAGUCUGAUCCAGCAAUUCUGUGUGCACGAUGAAGUUUUUCGGAAUGUAAAGUGCUUUCAGUUGGGAAGAAAGAAAUGACGGUACCAACAGAAGAAGUGACGGCUAAAUACGUGCCAGCAGCCGCGGUAAUACGUAUGUCACGAGCGUUAUCCGGAUUUAUUGGGCGUAAAGCGCGUCUAGGUGGUUAUAUAAGUCUGAUGUGAAAAUGCAGGGCUCAACUCUGUAUUGCGUUGGAAACUGUAUAACUAGAGUACUGGAGAGGUAAGCGGAACUACAAGUGUAGAGGUGAAAUUCGUAGAUAUUUGUAGGAAUGCCGAUGGGGAAGC